rnacentral:rRNA from 1 species
UGGCUCAGGACGAACGCUGGCGGCGUGCCUAAUACAUGCAAGUAGAACGCUGAAGGAGGAGCUUGCUUCUCCGGAUGAGUUGCGAACGGGUGAGUAACGCGUAGGUAACCUGCCUGGUAGCGGGGGAUAACUAUUGGAAACGAUAGCUAAUACCGCAUAAGAGUAGAUGUUGCAUGACAUUUGCUUAAAAGGUGCAAUUGCAUCACUACCAGAUGGACCUGCGUUGUAUUAGCUAGUUGGUGGGGGUAACGGCUCACCAAGGCGACGAUACAUAGCCGACCUGAAAAGGGUGAUCGGGCCACAACUGGGGACUGAAACCACGGCCCAAGACUCCUACGGGAGGCAGCAGUAGGGAAUCUUUCGGCAAUGGACGGAAGUUCUGACACGAGACCACCGGCCGGCGUGAGUGAAAGAGGUUUUCGGGAUCGUAAAGCUUCUGGUUGUAAAGGAAGACCAAUGGGAGAAUUGGAAGGUCACCCGUGUGAACGUAAUCCUACAGGAAGGGGAGCCUUCUACCUUGGAAGCCGCCGGGGUUUAAUAUGGGUCCCCACGGUUGCGGGUUUUUUGGGCGUAAGGCGCGGGAAGGGGUAGUAUAGUCCGAAGUAUAAGCGGGGGUUAACCCUUGACCCUUUGGAAACUGUUUACUUUAUGGCAAGGGGAAAUGGAUUCCUGGGACGGUGAAUGGUAAUUUGGGGAACCCGGGGGAAACGCUCUUGGUUGAACUGCCUGAGGCUGAAACUGGGAACAAAGAUAUAACCUGGUAUCCAGCCUAACAUGAUGCUAGGUAACCUCGGGUAGGCGUAUAGCAUAGCUCGCUGAUCACGGAGUGACAAGAU